rnacentral:rRNA from 1 species
CCUACGGGUGGCAGCAGUGGGGAAUCUUGCACAAUGGAGGAAACUCUGAUGCAGCGACGCCGCGUGAGCGAUGAAGCCCCUCGGGGUGUAAAGCUCUUUCGGCAGGAACGCGGUACCUGCAGAAGAAGCUGCGGCUAACUACGUGCCAGCAGCCGCGGUAAUACGUAGGCAGCAAGCGUUGUUCGGAAUUACUGGGCGUAAAGAGUGUGUAGGCGGUGUUCUAAGUUCGGUGUGAAAUCUCCCGGCUCAACUGGGAGGGUGCGCCGAAAACUGGGAUGCUCGAGCGUGGGAGAGGAAAGCGGAAUUCCUGGUGUAGCGGUGAAAUGCGUAGAUAUCAGGAGGAACACCAGCGGUGUAGACGGCUUUCUGGACCAUGCUGACGCUGAGACACGAAAGCGUGGGUAGCAAACAGGAUUAGAUACCCUUGUAGUC